UGUUGGGUAGGGGAGCGUUCUGUAAGCCUGUGAAGGUGUGCUGUGAGGCAUGCUGGAGGUAUCAGAAGUGCGAAUGCUGACAUAAGUAACGAUAAAGCGGGUGAAAAGCCCGCUCGCCGGAAGACCAAGGGUUCCUGUCCAACGUUAAUCGGGGCAGGGUGAGUCGACCCCUAAGGCGAGGCCGAAAGGCGUAGUCGAUGGGAAACAGGUUAAUAUUCCUGUACUUGGUGUUACUGCGAAGGGGGGACGGAGAAGGCUAUGUUGGCCGGGCGACGGUUGUCCCGGUUUAAGCGUGUAGGCUGGUUUUCCAGGCAAAUCCGGAAAAUCAAGGCUGAGGCGUGAUGACGAGGCACUACGGUGCUGAAGCAACAAAUGCCCUGCUUCCAGGAAAAGCCUCUAAGCAUCAGGUAACAUCAAAUCGUACCCCAAACCGACACAGGUGGUCAGGUAGAGAAUACCAAGGCGCUUGAGAGAACUCGGGUGAAGGAACUAGGCAAAAUGGUGCCGUAACUUCGGGAGAAGG
rnacentral:rRNA from 1 species